ACACCAGGUCAACACUAGAUUCGUUUUCAAGAUAAUCGCGAGCUUGAAUGCUGGGCUCUGUUGUUCACCAAGAAAAUAUGGCUAGAAAAUUAUUAUUAACGUUCAAUAGUACUCUACCCACAACAACUGCAAGUUCCGGAAUCAACUCUAUCCAACAGCUUUUUGCAUAUGGACAACAAACACCAGGAGCAAUACCCAUCGUUGUAGGUUUU